UGAUGCCAGGGCCAUAAGUUCUUAGAUUUGAUGUGGAUUUACUUGUGGAAAAAUUUUUGAACAUAGGGUUCGCCAAAAGUAUGAGUAAGUAGUUAUUUUCAAAAGAGCGAACGAAUUGUGAAUGUUUUUGUUAAUUGUGAGAAUGCGAAGUGCGGAAUAAUUCAGUAUCA
rnacentral:sRNA from 1 species